GUAGGUGAACCUGCGGAAGGAUCAUUAAAGUUAUAGUCCCCUGGCCCUCUGGGCUGGGGUCUUCUAUACCACCCUUUGUUUAUUACACCUUUGUUGCUUUGGCAGGCCUGCCCUCGGGCUGCUGGCUCCGGCCGGCUCGCGUCUGCCAGAGGACCUAAACUCUGUUUGUAUAUGAAGUCUGAGUACUAUAUAAUAGUUAAAACUUUCAACAACGGAUCUCUUGGUUCUG
rnacentral:misc_RNA from 1 species